ensembl:lncRNA
AAACAAUUUAAAUAUUACUUACUGAUGGGAAUGCGUCCUGAAAAAUGUUUGUAGUGAAGCACUUGCUUUAACAAUCAGUUCAAUUCCAAUAUAUCUUAAAACUAGUAACUAAAUGUGCCGAUGUGCCUGAAGCCAUAUAUUUAGAGAACAGUAUAAAAACAAAUUCAUAUGCGUGUCUGCACAUGUACACAUACAUCCAUACACCGUCACAAACUUGUACAUGCAUACACUAAGGGUCAAAAAUUUAAAUUAAAACCUAUGAACAUAUAUCUUUUAGGAAAAUGGUCAACAAAGAACAAAGGAAAAAUGUCUUUGUCUUAAAUCACUUAUUUUUCUGAGAGAGCUGGCAGUGUACAGCUCUCAUUUCUUUUGGUCUAAGGAAAGAUUGCCAUCUAUUGGAUGACCUUGGAAAAUAGCAGGUUUUUACUAUGUAUGUACUCCAUAAUUCAUUAAAAAAAAAAAAAAAAAAAAAAAAAAAAUUGAAGACAUUAAAUUGUAUAUAUUAUGAUAGUAAAAUGCCCAAGAACUUGCCAGUCAAGAUGAAAAACUUCUUCUAAUGGAAUCCAGCUUGAAAGCAACUCAAGAGCAGCUAAGUGAGCAAACAGCAGAAACAGUUCACCAAGAACAGAACAGUAGAAAAUCACAGACAGAGCUGAAAGAAGAUCCUGAGAGAACGUAUUAUAGCUUCUGAUGAAGAAAUUAGUGAUUACAAAUACAUCUCAGUGUGCACUGUAUGGAGACACCAAAGCAGAAAUACUCGCAUAGAUGACAGAAUGUUCAUCUUGUUUGCAGUUGUCUAAACUCUUACAGAAAAAAUCCUGAUUUCUCUUAAAAAAACAGAAAACUGUGUGGAGAACUUUAAGGUCUGAAAAAUGUGAGUAAUGCCUCCAGAAAAGCUUAAAUGGGAAUCACGCCAAGAAUGUGGGACCAGGAAAGUCAAAUUGUCAGACUGAGACAAAACUUUGUGGAAAUGGAAGAAGAAGUAAAGAACUUAAGACUUACACACAGCAAUGAUGCUCAGAUGAUUGAUAAGAAUCUGAAUACUCUGAGAAAUGAGAUGAACUUGUAUGAAGACACAUAGGAUGGUAGUCAAAUGAGCUGAAGUUUAAAUAUGAACAACACAAUGCAACACUGAGGCCUGCAUGACUGUAAGAAUGUUAGGAUAGAAAAUUGUCUUUGGUAGCAGCAAAGAUUAAAAAAAUAGUAUCACUUAAAUAAAUACAUGUGAAGAAGCCAAAUUUGUAACAAAAAGGAAACCAGUAAAUGAAUUCACAAAAGCCAGCUACUACAUAGCAAAUCUCUGUAUAAAUGGGCUGAGAGUAUGUACCAAGAAGAAGGCAAGUAUCUAUUCUUUUUCAAUGGGAAAAACAAAAAACAAAAAACAAACAAACAAAAAAGCUAUUUCAUCCUUACUUUGGGAAAAAGGCACACAAAACCAAAGCAAAAAAUGCCUCACUGACUGCAUCUGUCCAUUCUGUACUGUAAUUUGUUUCCCGCUAUGAAGAUUUAGGUUAAAUUCAUUUCUAUUAUUAAAGACAAAUAAGCUGCAAAAGAACUAAUUCUCUGUCUCCAUCUUUUACAUGUAUAUUUAUUCAUAUGAAUGCACUUUUGUUCAUUUAUUUUUACUUCUACCUUGACAAAGCUGUGCAAAAAAUAACAUAGUUUGAUUACUCAUAAUUUGCAUUUGUGUAAUUAAUAGGGAUGAAAAGGAUUAAAAUCAAUGGAGAAAUAUUUAUUUGUUUAAAUUGGAUAACUAUGGAAAAACUAUUUGGCAGGAAUGAAAGCUUUUCCAUCUAAAUUACGUCAUAUAAUUUAAACUGUUUUAGUUUUUAAGCUUAAAAAGCAUGAAAAUCACAAAGCAGAACUGGAAGAAGACACAGAAAAAUACUGCCAUGUAAAGGAAGAGCCUUCAGAACAAGGGUCUCAGCUCAAAAUUAGCUAGCUGGUCCAUUCUGGAGUGGGAAAACUGAUAAAAUGCCGCAGUACUCAGGUAAUACCCUUGAUACAAUAUGUGGAAGGGAGACAGUGUUUGAAGUAAUAUCAGUGAAUGUAUCAGAGUACUCUCAGAGAAUUUUUCCAACGGAUAAGGAAAUAUUAUUUAAAUAAUACUAACUGUAAAAUUCACUCAUGAGUGAUUGAGAAAACAUGAGAAAUAUUGUUGAAAAUAUCAAGUCAAUAUAACAGCAGCAUUUCUUCUUUUAAAAGUGUUGUGGGUGGGAUUCACCUUGUUGAACUGGAGGUAGGAAUAUUUGAAAUAGAUGUCUAAGUUCCAUUGCUGUCAUUGGAGACUUAAUCAACUCAGUGAGUGAAAUCAAGGGCUAUCAAUACCUUUCAUUACCCAAAGUGAACCUACAGAAAAGCUGGAGAGUGACUCUUUAUCAGGUAGCAUAGUCAUAGGACAAGGGAUAGUUGCCUUCAACUAAACUAGAUUAGAUAUUAGAAAGAAAUUCUUCACUAUGAGGACAGUGAGAUACUGAAAUAAAUUGUCCAUAGAAACUGUGGAUGCUCCAUCUCUGGGAGCAUUCAAACGUAGGUUGAGUGAAGCCCUUGGCAACUUGAUCUCAUGGAAGGUGACUGUGCUAUGGCAGGGAAUUAGAACUAGAUGAAUUUAAGUUCUCUUCCAAACCAUUUUAUGAUUCUAUGACUAAAUAUUGAUCCAAUCAAUAUUAAGGUUUUCAGAGGAGCUGAAAAUCAAUCCCAGUGACAAUAUUAUUCAUUGUGAUAGAACACAUUCACACACCGUAAUGCAGACAUCCAAAUUUGGGUAAGAAUAAUCAGAUUAGAAAAGUUAGCCUUUUUGCAGCAAUUCAUUAUAUAAUACGGAAUUAUUUUAUUUAUUUUUGUUACUAAUAAGAGUACUAGAUGUUUCACAAGCAUAGAUACUGGUCAAUUAUCUGAGCAAUAUCCAAUAUAUAAAUACACAAAGUUAGAAGGAAAUGAUCAAUGCCAGAGAGAAAUAAAAGUUAAAAUAAUACAUGCUUUUUCUUCUGUGUCUGAGAGAAUGUGAGUAGAUGUGAAAGUUGGAAAACCAAAAGAAUUAGUAGUAUGACAACAUUCCUUUUCUACCCUAGCAUUGUCAAAAGAUAACAAGAUUAAUUCUCUGCUGUAGUAUUUCACUACAGUAGUGUGUUAAUUUGAGGGGCUUGGCUGAGCCUUAUUCAGCAUAUAAUUAGAAUUUACUGAACUUUAAUUUCUUAUCAUCUUUAGGCUGCAUUAUCAAAGUGUUUAUAUUGAAACAUUCAAAUGUUCAGUUAAAAAUAAACUUCAGUUUGUCAAGGAUACAUUGUAUACAAAUUCUGUGGAAAUAUUUGAAUAAAAUUGUUCACUUUUGCUUUGUGAGAAAUGCUUUGCACUUUACAUAUUUAUAACAUAAUGUCAUUAGAGUAUGUAUCUUAGAAAUAUAGCAAUUUCCUGGUGAAUUUAUUGAAUAAAUGCUUAUCUAAUAAGUAAUUUGAGAGUAGAGAAAGAUCUAAUGAAAAGCUAAAUACACAGUGAAAUCCUAAUCAAGCAAUUGAAAUAGUUACUCAUGAUAAAACUAAGAUUAUCAGAGUAUCAGAACACAAAUUACUCCAUUAAUCUUUUGAAUUAGUCAGUUCUUAUUUUCUGAAGCUAAGUAACUUGAGAAGGUACACUCAAGGUUUCAUCUUUCUGAAGACUGUAUUUAUUACCUUUACUUUCAUAAAGAGUUCAUUAGAAAGAAUAUUACAGUGAAAUACGUUAACUUUUUAGCCUGUUUUAAUGAAGUCAUGUGAGUCUUUAAUUAUCUGACAUAAAACUGCUUAGUUUUACGUAGUAUCUACAGAUACUAAUUAGUAUCUACAUAUAUACAUUAGUAUCUACAUCAAUUAGUAUCUACAGAUAUUAACGGAUUCAUAUGUCAUAAAGCCAGAAGAAACGCUGUUAUUGAAUCUUAUAUGUGGCACAAUGCAGGCCACAGGACUUCACUGAAUUGAGUAGUUGUAAGAGAUUAUUCUUUUAUAUGAUUGACUCAAAGUUUGCUGAGGAACAAGUCCAGGCAAGUCCUGGGCAAAGGUACAGAAAUCUUCUGUCUGGAGGACACUGAUGGACAGGUCCUGGCUAAAGGAUUGUGAAGUCCUUUAAGGAGCACAGAUGGACGAGGCCAGGGGCAACGAGAGAGGGAUAAGCUGCUGAUAAUGGCUGAGAAAUGGUCUUUUGUGUGGACUUAUCUAGAAGAAGAUGGCCAUCUCAGGAGCUACGCACAUGACUCUUGCUCAAGCACCCAGGGAUGUCACGUAGGCAGGAAAAAGAGGAGGAUAAAAGAGGGUCUAACAACCAUGAGGAGAGGGUUUCUGCCAUCAGAUCCCUCACCACGACGGACUCAAGGUUUCUGCCAUCAGAUCCUUCACUACGGACCAUAUGCUGAUGGACUUCCCUGGGCCUGCUACCUGAGACCUGCUGCUUCCUCCCAGACUUACUCUGCGGCUUCUUCCUGGACCCACCCGGUACCUGCACCCUCUCGUUGCCCAAGACCGGCCUCGCUGCUCCUGCCCUUCAGCCUCGGACCAUCAGAACAUCGUGCAACAGGACUACUGCUGGUGGUGACUAUCCCCGCUUUAUGCAAUUCUUGCUUCUUUCUAUCUUUUCUAUCGCUCGCCUUCCCUUUCCCAUCACCCCAAUCCAUAAUAGUGUCCGUCCUCCCCUUUCUUCAUCUCCCUUAUUAACAUAUGUAAUAAACUGGUCGGACCAACAUUUGAACCGUUGUUUCUUAAUCUCACGCCGGGCAUACAUAUUUCAAAGAACCUCCUCUCCCUCCUAUAAAUUGGAGUGAGACAGUAGUACAUUAUGUCUAAGUAAAUGUGAUUAAAAUGGAGUAUAUUAAAAUGGAGCAUACAUUUUUAAUACAUUCUUGACUUUAAAUAUACACAAUGUUAGAGAAUUCAUUACGGUCUUUCACAGGUUGCCUCAAUAGUUAGUAAAACAUAUAGCAUGCUGACUGUUCAUCAUUUUAUCAUCUUUCUUGGAAUGUUAUACAAAUCUCAACAUAUAUAAAAAUAGUUUUUAUGUCAUCUUUAUCAAUAACAUUUGAAAUAUCAUAAAACUGAAAGAGCAGAUAGUUUUACAAGAUGUGUUUACAGUAAAUCCACAGUAACUUUGGUUAUUAUAUUAAUGCACAUUUGUUAUAUGUAUCUACAGCUAACACAAAUUACUGUGGAAUUAUGAUAUUAGCUGUCCUGAUAUUUUGCUUGAAAGAGAUAACUACCCUCCUUGAAUUACUUGAAUCACCCUCUUAAAACCUAAGAAAUAUUAGCACAGAAUUAACAGAUAAAUUAACCUGUACUGUUUUGGAAGUUUUUAAGGUUGUCAAGACCAAACACUGUAAAUAUGGCCUAGAAAUUCUUUUCAAAAGCACUUCAAAAGCACUUAGAUAUGUUUUACGUAGACAAUUUGAAAUAUAUUUAUACUUAUGUGAUUGCAGUCACUUUUAUCCUAAGACUAAAAUACCAUACAUUCUUCAGUUAUAAUAGAAUAUUUCACAUGAAGGGUUCUACAGAGAUCAUCAAGUCCAACUGCCUGACAACUUCAGAGGUAACCACAAGUUAAGCGUAUUACUGAGGGCAUUAUCCAAAUGCAUCUCAAGUAAUAUUAGGCAUAGGACAUCAGUCAUCUCAUUGCAGUGAGAUAAAAGCCUGUUCCACUGUUUGAUGAUAAAUAAAUGUCCAGUAUAGUCUGAAACUCCCCUGGCACAGCACAGCUGUGUGCCACUCCUGUGCAACCUGCAAUCAGCACAGAAGAUACCAGGGAGCAGAGACCAGCACCUCCCUCUGUACUUCCUCUCCUCAAGGAGCUGCAGAGAGCAGUAAAGUCAUCUUGUAGACUCCUAUUCUCCAGGCUAGACAGUCCAAGAGUCCUCACCCUUUCCUUACUAGACAUGUCUUCCAUUCUGAUUACCUGCUUUGUUGCCAUUGUCUGGACACUUUUAGAUAUCUUAAUAAUGUUUUUAUGUUGUGGGGCAUACAUUAUUCAAGGUGAGGUUGCACCAACUCCAAAUAUAUCAGGACAAUCACCCCAAAAAGCAGUUUGCCCUUUUGGCAACCAACACUGCUGGUUCAUACUGAGCCUGCUAUCAUCAGCCCUCCUAGAUCAAUUUGUUCUGAGCUGCUCUCCAGCCAUUCAUCUCUCAGUUUGUGUCAUCUCUCAGGUACUGUGCCAGGCAUAGUACCUGACAUUUACCUUUGUUGAACUUCACGCCAUUGUUUCCCCAGUGCUCCAAUCCAUCCACAUUGCUCUACAAGACCUCAGCAACACAACUGACCAUCUACUAGCCAAAUGGGUCUCCAUCACUACAACACUUUGAGUUCUACCAUUGAGCCAGUUUAUCACCCUGCAUAGUGUGAACAUACUUAUCUCACAGUUGGACAAUUUGUACAGAAAGUUGCCAUGAAGGAUCAUAUCAAAGGCUUUACUGAAUUCUAGAAAGAUGACGUACACUGCCUUCCUUCAUCCACCAAGUGGGUAAUCUUAUAAAAAGAAAUCAAAGCAAUGAAGACAGGGCUUUCCCUUCAUGAACCCAUAUUGACUAUGCCUGACAAUGGCUUUGUCCUUCAAGUGCCUUUCAGUAACACUCACUAUAAUCUUCUCCAUAAAUUUUUAGGGUACUGAGUUAGGUUAACAAGUCUGUUACAGAUUUGUUACUUUUGUUACUUUGUUUUCAGUAAGUUCUUUCUCUUUAUUUUUUGUUUGUUUGUUUAUUUUACUUUGUUUUGGGAAGAGGAGAGCUUGUGGUGGGGAGUGGGGUUUUGUCAUCUACGUAGUGCUAUUGAAGAUAAUACUACUUUUUUAUAUUUAAACAUUUGAUCCUCAGAAAGUUUCAUCCUAUUCUUUCAUGUUUACGAGAUUUUUCUCUCUUCAAACACUUUUUUUCUUUGUAUGAACAUUUGCAAAUGAGUGUGUACAUGCAUAUCAAUGACCAUGAGUACAUGGGGCUUAUCUGUUCCUCAAAAAUAUGACUUGGUCAAAAUUACUUUUGCAUAAAGAACAACUGAAUUUCAGCAACGUAAUCCUUUCCUACUCAUAAGUCUUAAAUUAAUGUGCAAAAUUGAAUUAAUCAGCAUAUUUAAUUACAAUUUUUUUGUUAAACUUAUUUAUCUGUGAAGGUGUUAUGUAUAAUUUUUGAAAGUUAAUGGAUACAUUAUUAAGCAAAGAGUAACAGCUCCAACAAACCAGAAUUAUUUAAGUCUCUGAGGAAAACUAAGAUUUCCCUUCUGAUUCAUCUUUAAAAUCCUGUUUUCAACAUCUUUGCAAAGUUAAUUUUAGUUUUUUAAAAGCCAGGUAACUUAAAAUAAUUUUUCUGCCCUUCAUUCCUCUUUUGUUUAUCGUGUUUUUCAGAAUGUUGUUCCAUUAGUGACUUUGAAGUCAGUGAUGUUAGAUCAAAUUAUUCAAAUUACUAGCUUUUGUUGUUGCUGGUGCUGUUUUGUGGGGUUUUUUUCUUUUGUUUUGUUUUGUUUUGAUUUUCCUCUUAUGAAUGUAAUUUACUGGUGUAGUGGUUAUUAGAACAGAACUUCACAGUGUUUGUGUUUUGUCUUAAUUAUAAGUAAUUUUAUAUCACUAAUAUUAUCAGUAAACUUGUUUGUGUAUAUUUUACUCAAUGAAAUGUUAAUGCCAAACUUUGAACAGAAACUGUACUGACUACUUCUAUCUUAAAACAGACAGUACCAGUAGCUGAUUGUUUUACUUUUGUUUCCUUUCAUCAAACAACUCUAUUCAGAAGGUGAAAAUUUCCUUUUCUUCUUUUUGAUGGAAUUUCUUUUCAUUUCUCCCCUUUCUUUUCAUAGUUUUACAAACGGGCAGUUACACAGUUUAUUACAAAAUAUGUUGAGGCACAUGCCUAGAAGGUGUGUUGAAUGGCAUACUCCAUCUACUUGUGGCAUCUAUGCAUAUUAAGUUGUUAAAAGCAUGUUUGUCAAACUUAUAUGACAGUUUUAGCAAUUGUAAAAACGCAUAUUUGCUAUGCUAUGCUAGAAGAAGAGGAAGAAAAAGAAGAAGAGAAGUGAAAAAAGAGAGGAGAGAAGAGGAGAGGAGAGGAGAGGAGAGGAGAGGAGAGGA